rnacentral:rRNA from 1 species
AUUGAACGCUGGCGGCAUGCCUAACACAUGCAAGUCGAACGAGUGGCGGACGGGUGAGUAAUGUCUGGGAAACUGCCUGAUGGAUGGGGAUAACUACUGGAAACGGUAGCUAAUACCGCAUACCAUCAGAUGUGCCCAGAUGGGAUUAGCUGGUAGGUGGGGGAAUGGCUCACCUAGGCGCCGAUCCCUAGCUGGGCGGAGAGGAUGACCAGCCACACUGGAACUGAGAAACGGUCCAGACUCCUACGGGAGGCAGCAGUGGGGAAUAGUGCACAAUGGGCGAAAGCCUGAUGCAGCAAUGCCGCGUGUAUGAAGAAGGCCUUCGGGUUGUAAAGUACUUUCAGCGGGUAGGCGUUACCCGCAGAAGAAGCACCGGCUAACUCCGUGCCAGCAGCCGCGGUAAUUC